UUAUGCCUGCGGUGUACGUAAGCUUUUUAAUUAUGUCUAACCUUACUCAUUUUCAAAAGGAACCUGACUUUGUCAUAUGGCUGCUGGAUCGUCUCCGAACGAAUAGCAAAAGUAUCGUCUUAAGGUACCGCCCUGCAUUAUGCAGGUCUAGGCAUGUAAGAAGAUACGGCAUCAUGGGCGUAAA
rnacentral:other from 1 species